rnacentral:rRNA from 1 species
GCGGACGGGUGAGUAACACGUGGGUAACCUGCCCAGAAGUGGGGGAUAACAUUUGGAAACAAGUGCUAAUACCGCAUAACAACUUAGAUCACAUGAUCUUUGUUUAAAAGAUGGUUUUGCUAUCUCUUCUGGAUGGACCCGCGGCGUAUUAGCUAGUUGGUGAGGUAAUAGCUCACCAAGGCGAUGAUACGUAGCCGACCUGAGAGGGUAAUCGGCCACAUUGGGACUGAGACACGGCCCAAACUCCUACGGGAGGCAGCAGUAGGGAAUCUUCCACAAUGGACGAAAGUCUGAUGGAGCAAUGCCGCGUGAGUGAAGAAGGUUUUCGGAUCGUAAAACUCUGUUGUUGAAAAAAAACAUACGUGAGAGUAACUGUUCACGUACUGACGGUAUUCAACCAGAAAGCCACGGCUAACUACGUGCCAGCAGCCGCGGUAAUACGUAGGUGGCAAGCGUUGUCCGGAUUUAUUGGGCGUAAAGAGAAUGUAGGCGGUUUAUUAAGUUUGAAGUGAAAGCCCUCGGCUCAACCGAGGAAGUGCUUCAAAAACUGGUAAACUUGAGUGCAGAAGAGGAAAGUGGAACUCCAUGUGUAGCGGUGGAAUGCGUANAUAUAUGGAAGAACACCAGUGGCGAAGGCGGCUUUCUGGUCUGUAACUGACGCUGAGAUUCGAAAGCAUGGGUAGCAAACAGGAUUAGAUACCCUGGUAGUCCAUGCCGUAAACGAUGAGUGCUAAGUGUUGGAGGGUUUCCGCCCUUCAGUGCUGCAGCUAACGCAUUAAGCACUCCGCCUGGGGAGUACGAUCGCAAGAUUGAAACUCAAAGGAAUUGACGGGGGCCCGCACAAGCGGUGGAGCAUGUGGUUUAAUUCGAAGCAACGC